rfam:Rhizobium freirei PRF 81 Cont752, whole genome shotgun sequence.
UUGAGCUGCAUGCCGGGAAACUGGCACGUGCAGUUCUAAGCUCAGAGGCUGCCUCAAAAAGAGGUGGGUGAUUUCAACAGGUUAUGAUUCCUUCGGAUUUGCGAGAUUCGAU